rnacentral:RNase_MRP_RNA from 1 species
UGUGAUUCGAACAUGCCUUAGCACCAGGACACACAAGAGUUUCUGAUAACUCAAUUCAAUCCUGUGGGAAAGUCCCCGGGCACAUGGUAGAAAGUACCAGGAUAUGAAUUUCCUAUCGCGAUUCUCGAACGUCCCCUCUCAUUACAAGACGGGAGUAAUCUCGGAAUAAUAGUGGAGUCAGAUAAUUGAGAUCGCGAAUUGGCCAAGUUUGUAAUAAAGUUACGCAAGGAAUUCAAAUUCAACACAAUGGGGCUCACAUAGCAAGAAUCAC